rnacentral:lncRNA from 1 species
UAAUUAGUGUAUAGAAUCCUUACGGUGUCAUAGCAAAAAUCUCCUGGGUCAAUUCGAUUCCAUGGUUUUUGACAUCUAUGCGGCCGGCAUUACUGUGAGUUACCUUUCAAGAAACUUUCGUUUUACUCCUGGUGUUCUUUCGACCUUGUGCUCCUGCGGGCCGAUUAUUGAAAUUGAUAGACAAAGGAGACAAAAGAGGUACGGAGAGAUCCUAUUGGUGGAAGCGGGUGGUUGCAAUGGACAAGGAGGUAAGUGAUAGCCUUACUAACGGCAACCCAAGAGAGACCCGACAGUAGUUAGUCUAUCAUUUUCUCCCUAUUUGUCUUUAAGAACCACCCAUUGCAACCAAUAGGUAGGUUCCAUACUCCCUAUGUCUUCUUUAUCUAUAGCUUUGUCCAUGAAUUUCAAUAAUCAGUGCAGGUGUCUUUAAUUUUCCUCUUUUGUCGUCAAAAAAUGCAUGAAUCUUGGAAAAUCUUGGAAACUGAUCUAGAGUUAUGAUUUCCAAGCCGACAACGGCGCAACCAGAGGUCCACUACCUUCCCUAUGAUUAGACGGGUACGUGAUCCCCCGGGAAUUAAGGGCGGGGGGCACCCGGGCUUGUCCCCGUUUGAAAUUUACUCGGGCUUUUUCGGAUCCUCCCAAUCUCAAUUUCUUAUAAAAGCUCAGUGGGUGACUGUGUCUCAGUUCAGUGUGGGUUUUUUUCGAGUGUUGUUAGUUUACCAGUUUUUGGACGCAAUAUGAAGUUUACACUAUCUGUGGCUGUGAUUUCGUCGCUGGUGCUCUUGGCCCAGACGGACGAGAAGAAAGGAGUGGAGAAGCGGCACUUGGGCCUGGGCGCGGUAGGGUGGCCGUCAACCCCGACGUGGCCCUCGCCAUCCUGGGCGUCCCCAUCAGGUUGGCCGUCGGCGGCCUCUUCAGGGUGGCCCUCGGCGGCCUCUUCAGGGUGGCCCUCGGCCUCGACCGGUGUCGUGGACCUCACCUCGGCCACCGCCGGCCUCACUCCUUCCUGGCCUGAGGUCGGCUGGCCCUCCGCCUACAACCAGCCCGAACUCGCCUACUCCAAGGCGGUGGCUCACACAUCGGCCCUGAACGGAGUAGCAGCGAUCAACGCAGCCGAAGUGGCAGCCGCCCUGACGGCAGCGAAGGAGGCCUCGACAGCAGCCGCCCUGGCCCAGCAACGCGUGCAGGCGGCCAAGGAGGCCGUCCUCGUGCAACAGCGGAUCGCGGCCGCGAAGGAGGCGGCAGCAGCGGCGGCCAUCCAACGCUCGGAGGCGGCCGCUGCCACGGCGGCAGCCAUCCAACGCUCCGAGGCGGCAGCCGCGGCCAUCCAACGCACCGAAGCAGCCGCUCAGGCCGCCGCCGCCCUUCAACGCUCGGAGGCGGCCGCCGCAACCGCCGCUGCCAUCCAACGAUCCCAGGCCGCCUCCGCCGCCAUCCACAAGCAGGCGCAGCUCGCCGUCCACCCCUCCGGCCACUGGCAACCCUCCUCCAAGCCCUGGAACGCUUGGGGAUAA